rfam:Endocarpon pusillum Z07020 unplaced genomic scaffold scaffold5138, whole genome shotgun sequence.
UAUUUGGUUUGCCGCUUAUAACGUCCUAUACGGUUGCGUGCAACAUACGGUCCCGUGCAACAAAAUUGCUUGGCACAACCCUCGCCGGCGCUGUUACAGCGAAUUCAGCUCACUAUUGACAUUAUUGAAGCUAUACAAGCUUCCUAAAUAGGAAAUAGAAUAGGGAUCUAUGGUGUAGUUCCUUAUUCAAAUACAUCCUCUUCGAUCCAUAGCAGAUGAUAACUUAACGAAUCGCAUGGCCUUGCGCCGGCGAUGGUUCAUUCAAAUUUCUGCCCUAUCAACUUUCGAUGGUAGGAUAGUGGCCUACCAUGGUCUCAACGGGUAACGGGGAAUUAGGGUUCUAUUCCGGAGAGGGAGCCUGAGAAACGGCUACCACAUCCAAGGAAGGCAGCAGGCGCGCAAAUUACCCAAUCCCAACACGGGGAGGUAGUGACAAUACAUACUGAUACAGGGCUCUUUCGGGUCUUGUAAUUGGAAUGAGUACAAUCUAAAUCCCUUAACGAGGAACAAUUGGAGGGCAAGUCUGGUGCCAGCAGCCGCGGUAAUUCCAGCUCCAAUAGCGUAUAUUAAAGUUGUUGCAGUUAAAAAGCUCGUAGUUGAACCUUGGGCCUGGCUGAUCUGUCUUCCUAAACGUUGUACGGAUUCGGUCGGGCCUUUCCUUCUGGGGAAUCCUAUGUCCUUUGUUGGGCGUAGUGGGGAACCAGGACUUUUACCUUGAAAAAAUUAGAGUGUUCAAAGCAGGCCUUUGCUCGAAUACAUUAGCAUGGAAUAAUGGAAUAGGACAGCAGUUCUAUUUUGUUGGUUUCUAGGACCGCUGUAAUGAUUAAUAGGGAUAGUCGGGGGCGUCAGUAUUCAAUUGUCAGAGGUGAAAUUCUUGGAUUUAUUGAAUCCUAACUAUUCAGAAAGCAUUCGCCAAGCAUGUUUGCAUUAAUCAGGGAACGAAAGUUAGGGGAUCAUAGCCUCGCUGUCAUUGCUUCCUCGUACGCAUUCGAUAACAGAUAUCCACUCUCUGUUACUGUCUUGACGUACAAAUGCUUGUUUCUGCUGAAUAGGAAUAAGAACGUGAGUUCUCUGCAUUACCCCCAUCAUAA